AACGAACGCUGGCAGCAUGCCUAACACAUGCAAGUCGAACGAGACCUUCGGGUCUAGUGGCGCACGGGUGCGUAACGCGUGGGAACCUGCCCUUAGGUUCGGAAUAACUCCCCGAAAGGGGUGCUAAUACCGGAUAAUGUCCUCGGACCAAAGAUUUAUCGCCCUUGGAUGGGCCCGCGUUGGAUUAGCUAGUUGGUAGGGUAAAAGCCUACCAAGGCGACGAUCCAUAGCUGGUCUGAGAGGAUGAUCAGCCACACUGGGACUGAGACACGGCCCAGACUCCUCCGGGAGGCAGCAGUGGGGACUAUUGGACAAUGGGCGAAAGCCUGAUCCAGCAAUGCCGCGUGAGUGAUGAAGGCCUUAGGGUUGUAAAGCUCUUUUACCCGGGAUGAUAAUGACAGUACCGGGAGAAUAAGCUCCGGCUAACUCCGUG
rnacentral:rRNA from 1 species